ensembl:lncRNA
AUAUAUAUAUAUAUAUAUAUAUAUAUAUAUAUAUAUAUAGUGUCUCAAGAUGCAUAUCAGUAGUGUUUUUAUCCAAGGAAUGCUUAUAAAAGCUACUUAAAUGUCCUAAUUGAACUACGGCCUAAUCCUGGCUUAAUCUAAACCUUAUCUGUGACCUACAUAAUAUAGCAUAUUUGUGAUUUUGCUGUAAAAAUAUGUUUUGCAAUGCAUAAAUAAAAGGGGAGCUCCAUUAAGUACACAUACAUCUCAAAAGUGGAUUUACAUAAACCGUAUAUACAUCUUAAAGACGAUUACUAAAAGUCUAUGUAACAUCUGACAGGAUAAUCUUUGAUAAGUAUUGCAGAUGAGCACAUCUAAUAGACAUGAGACUGAGUGAGUGAUGUACAGUAUGUGUGCUAUUAUGUAGAAUUUACUGUUGUCAACACUGCUUUAGAUGAAUGUAAGUAAUGUAAAUAAUCAAAUCUCCAUAAAGUAAGUAAACAUAAGUUAGAUACUUUAUUUGUCCAUUUGUAAUAUUGAUAAUUUAAGGAACAUUUGUGUUGGAUAAAAAGUGAGUUACAUCAGCAACUAACUCAACAUGUAAAUACAGUAUUGAGCAAAUAAAUCACAGAGGUCACUGACUCUUGUCUGGAUGUUACAGGAACAGAUGAGACACACAUGUGUUUAUCCGGUGCAGAGUGACUGAUGAAGGAAUGCUGCCAUCAAAGGCUUUCAAUCUUUUGUGUUGGAGCAGGACUUGCAAGGCAAAGUGACGGCGGCAUUUGUGGAAAAAAGAGAAACCUGAAACUAAAGGAUGAAGUAGUGGUGCUUGUGUAGAGCAGGCACACAAAUGUUUGAAGCAGACACAGUGGUAGCCAGAUUGUCCCGCACAUGUUCCCCUGCUCUUGCUUCAAGAUUGUGUGGUUCAGAGAGCUGUCAUCAUGGUCUUCCUCAUCCUCCUGCUCAACAAUGUCCCCACUGAGAAGAGUGAGAUUGUGAAGCACAGUUGUGUUAAGAUGGCAGUAGGAUGUGGGGUUCACCAUCUGUAAAUACAUGAUUGUUAGAACAAUAAAUUUGAAUGAAGCUUUGUUUCAU